GACGAACGCUGGCGGCGUGCUUAACACAUGCAAGUCGAACGGAAAGGCCCUGCUUUUGUGGGGUGCUCGAGUGGCGAACGGGUGAGUAACACGUGAGUAACCUGCCCUUGACUUUGGGAUAACUUCAGGAAACUGGGGCUAAUACCGGAUAGGAGCUCCUGCUGCAUGGUGGGGGUUGGAAAGUUUCGGCGGUUGGGGAUGGACUCGCGGCUUAUCAGCUUGUUGGUGGGGUAGUGGCUUACCAAGGCUUUGACGGGUAGCCGGCCUGAGAGGGUGACCGGCCACAUUGGGCCUGAGAUACGGCCCAGACUCCUACGGGCGGCAGCAGUGGGGAAUAUUGCACAAUGGGCGGAAGCCUGAUGCAGCAACGCCGCGUGCGGGAUGACGGCCUUCGGGUUGUAAACCGCUUUCGCCUGUGACGAAGCGUGAGUGACGGUAAUGGGUAAAGAAGCACCGGCUAACUACGUG
rnacentral:rRNA from 1 species